CCUACGGGCGGCAGCAGUGGGGAUUAUUGGACAAUGGGGGCAACCCUGAUCCAGCCAUGCCGCGUGUGUGAAGAAGGCCCUCGGGUUGUAAAGCACUUUCAGUGAGGAAGAACGCCUGGUGGUUAAUACCCAUCAGGAAAGACAUCACUCACAGAAGAAGCACCGGCUAACUCCGUGCCAGCAGCCGCGGUAAUACGGAGGGUGCGAGCGUUAAUCGGAAUUACUGGGCGUAAAGCGCGCGUAGGUGGCUUGAUAAGCCGGUUGUGAAAGCCCCGGGCUCAACCUGGGAACGGCAUCCGGAACUGUCAAGCUAGAGUGCAGGAGAGGAAGGUAGAAUUCCCGGUGUAGCGGUGAAAUGCGUAGAGAUCGGGAGGAAUACCAGUGGCGAAGGCGGCCUUCUGGACUGACACUGACACUGAGGUGCGAAAGCGUGGGUAGCAAACAGGAUUAGAUACCCCAGUAGUC
rnacentral:rRNA from 1 species